rnacentral:rRNA from 1 species
AUGAACGCUAGCUACAGGCUUAACACAUGCAAGUCGAGGGGCAGCAUGGUCUUAGCUUGCUAAGACUGAUGGCGACCGGCGCACGGGUGAGUAACACGUAUCCAACCUGCCGUCUACUCUUGGACAGCCUUCUGAAAGGAAGAUUAAUACAAGAUGGCAUCAUGAGUCCGCAUGUUCACAUGAUUAAAGGUAUUCCGGUAGACGAUGGGGAUGCGUUCCAUUAGAUAGUAGGCGGGGUAACGGCCCACCUAGUCUUCGAUGGAUAGGGGUUCUGAGAGGAAGGUCCCCCACAUUGGAACUGAGACACGGUCCAAACUCCUACGGGAGGCAGCAGUGAGGAAUAUUGGUCAAUGGGCGAGAGCCUGAACCAGCCAAGUAGCGUGAAGGAUGACUGCCCUAUGGGUUGUAAACUUCUUUUAUAAAGGAAUAAAGUCGGGUAUGCAUACCCGUUUGCAUGUACUUUAUGAAUAAGGAUCGGCUAACUCCGUGCCAGCAGCCGCGGUAAUACGGAGGAUCCGAGCGUUAUCCGGAUUUAUUGGGUUUAAAGGGAGCGUAGAUGGAUGUUUAAGUCAGUUGUGAAAGUUUGCGGCUCAACCGUAAAAUUGCAGUUGAUACUGGAUAUCUUGAGUGCAGUUGAGGCAGGCGGAAUUCGUGGUGUAGCGGUGAAAUGCUUAGAUAUCACGAAGAACUCCGAUUGCGAAGGCAGCCUGCUAAGCUGCAACUGACAUUGAGGCUCGAAAGUGUGGGUAUCAAACAGGAUUAGAUACCCUGGUAGUCCACACGGUAAACGAUGAAUACUCGCUGUUUGCGAUAUACAGCAAGCGGCCAAGCGAAAGCGUUAAGUAUUCCACCUGGGGAGUACGCCGGCAACGGUGAAACUCAAAGGAAUUGACGGGGGCCCGCACAAGCGGAGGAACAUGUGGUUUAAUUCGAUGAUACGCGAGGAACCUUACCCGGGCUUAAAUUGCAGAUGAAUUACGGUGAAAGCCGUAAGCCGCAAGGCAUCUGUGAAGGUGCUGCAUGGUUGUCGUCAGCUCAUGCCGUGAGGUGUCGGCUUAAGUGCCAUAACGAGCGCAACCCUUGUUGUCAGUUACUAACAGGUUCCGCUGAGGACUCUGACAAGACUGCCAUCGUAAGAUGUGAGGAAGGUGGGGAUGACGUCAAAUCAGCACGGCCCUUACGUCCGGGGCUACACACGUGUUACAAUGGGGGGUACAGAGGGCCGCUACCACGCGAGUGGAUGCCAAUCCCAAAAACCUCUCUCAGUUCGGACUGGAGUCUGCAACCCGACUCCACGAAGCUGGAUUCGCUAGUAAUCGCGCAUCAGCCACGGCGCGGUGAAUACGUUCCCGGGCCUUGUACACACCGCCCGUCAAGCCAUGGGAGCCGGGGGUACCUGAAGUGCGUAACCGCGAGGAGCGCCCUAGGGUAAAACUGGUGACUGGGGCU